CCCAAGCCAUGCCUGCUCUUCCCACAAGAUCUCUUAUCAAUGCGGAUAACGUCAUGACCAGUAAGUGUAGCCACAUCACAGCCAUACUGCAAAUGUCAUUUUGACAGCCUAUAGCGUCACCUACAUAUUAUUCGGAAGACAAACCUCUAAAACAGUGCUAUCUGUGGGGGUUGGAGGAGAAUGAAUAAUAAAAUUGCAUUUUCAGUUAUUCUUACAGCCUGUCUGAGCUCGGCGACUGGAAGGGCAGUCCCCAGCUUCCUGGUGUAUUGCUGAAAACCAACGAGCCACGUUACCCGAAAGGAGAGGGGGGUUGGGGGGGCGGGUUGGCAGAAAAUCCAGACUCUACGUGACCUGACUUACUUAUUUCCAAGGAAAGCGCAGGAGAGGAAAAAAAAAAAUCAAUCAUUCAUGCUACCGUAGCUACCACACGGAAUGGACUAAGGAGUUCACAAUGGGCAAAACCCCAAAGCGGACAGAAGAGGAGAAGAGGAACAGGGUCCGAGGACGUGCAGCUCGGCGCAGUCGGCCAGCGAGUGCUCCAGGCAGAGCUGGAGGAAGCGGGCCUGGGUCUGGCUCACGCGCUUGAGCAACGACAGCAGCGCAACAGUCUGCUCGCACUCGUUCCAGCCCUUAAACCAGCCCGCCAGCACCCCGACCUGGUCGCGAAACAUCAUGGUUAGGAGGCCGCCCUCCGUCUACGAAGCCUCUCGGCGCCCCUGCCCGCCCCAAAGUUUGGCGGAGCCGCAGCCCCGCGGCCUCCCGAGACACGUUCCGGUUCCAAGGUCUCCGGUGCCCGGGCGCUGCAGCUUCAGGAUGGUGAUUUCCGGCGUCCCGGGGUCUCCUCCCCGCUGGGCGGCAGCUCGGACCCUUCACACCCGCAUUCCCAAACGGCAAUCACUACUGAAAAGAUAGAAAGAGCUGCAGUGAGACCUCGGCCCCAGGAGGAGAGCGUCUAGGGGGAUCCGGGCACCAGGGGGAGCCCGGUAGAGGGGGGUGUGGAAGCUAAGGUUGGGGGUGUCCCGUGCAGGCAAGUCUCCCAAAUUCCAACCGGCCCCUCCACACUCGGAUGCGCAAGCUGAGCUAUUGCACAGCUUCCUUCCCAGGUGCGGGAGGAGACCCCGCGGCUUCCUGUUGCUGCGGCUGUGACCCGCUAGUGCUCCCUGCACGCCCCACCCGGGGUGGCCUCCAGGGCUGUGUCUGCGAACGCCAGCACCAGCAACAGAUCCUCCCCGCGCUGAAAACUUGCAAUGCGGCUGCGAAGGGGCGCGGGGGUGGGGUGGGGGCUAAUGCAAAGCAGAGGCGGUGACAGAGGCAGCCAGGGUUCCAGCCUCCUCCUCUCCUCCUCUUCUUCUUCCUCCUCCUCUUCCUCCUCCCGCUCUCCUCCUCCCUCCUCCAAUUCCUCCCCUCCCUCCCUCCACCUCCUCCCGGAGAAGCAGCCUUACGGCUGCAGCUCCAUCUACAGCAACAGCCAGCAUCUCCACCGCCAGGCUCCCCUCUGGAUUUAGGCCGUGAGCAGCCGCUGCGA